CAUGCAAGUCGAACGAUGAACCACUUCGGUGGGGAUUAGUGGCGAACGGGUGAGUAACACGUGGGCAAUCUGCCCUGCACUCUGGGACAAGCCCUGGAAACGGGGUCUAAUACCGGAUACUGACCCGCUUGGGCAUCCAAGCGGUUCGAAAGCUCCGGCGGUGCAGGAUGAGCCCGCGGCCUAUCAGCUAGUUGGUGAGGUAAUGGCUCACCAAGGCGACGACGGGUAGCCGGCCUGAGAGGGCGACCGGCCACACUGGGACUGAGACACGGCCCAGACUCCUACGGGAGGCAGCAGUGGGGAAUAUUGCACAAUGGGCGAAAGCCUGAUGCAGCGACGCCGCGUGAGGGAUGACGGCCUUCGGGUUGUAAACCUCUUUCAGCAGGGAAGAAGCGAAAGUGACGGUACCUGCAGAAGAAGCGCCGGCUAACUACGUGCCAGCAGCCGCGGUAAUACGUAGGGCGCAAGCGUUGUCCGGAAUUAUUGGGCGUAAAGAGCUCGUAGGCGGCUUGUCACGUCGGUUGUGAAAGCCCGGGGCUUAACCCCGGGUCUGCAGUCGAUACGGGCAGGCUAGAGUUCGGUAGGGGAGAUCGGAAUUCCUGGUGUAGCGGUGAAAUGCGCAGAUAUCAGGAGGAACACCGGUGGCGAAGGCGGAUCUCUGGGCCGAUACUGACGCUGAGGAGCGAAAGCGUGGGGAGCGAACAGGAUUAGAUACCCUGGUAGUCCACGCCGUAAACGGUGGGCACUAGUGGUGGGCAACAUUCCACGUUGUCCGUGCCGCAGCUAACGCAUUAAGUGCCCCGCCUGGGGAGUACGGCCGCAAGGCUAAAACUCA
rnacentral:rRNA from 1 species